CACGUAGGGUGCGAGCGUUGUCCGGAAUUAUUGGGCGUAAAGAGCUCGUAGGCGGUUCGUCGCGUCGGCUGUGAAAUCCCGAGGCUCAACCUCGGGUCUGCAGUCGAUACGGGCGGACUGGAGUUCGGCAGGGGAGACUGGAAUUCCUGGUGUAGCGGUGAAAUGCGCAGAUAUCAGGAGGAACACCAAUAGCGAAGGCAGCUCGCUGGGACGGUAUUGACGCUAAGGCGCGAAAGCGUGGGGAGCAAACAGG
rnacentral:rRNA from 1 species